ensembl:lncRNA
UUGGAGGAGAUAAGUUGUGGUAGUAAUUCUCUGUCAUUAAAUUUUUAUUUUAUUUUUUAGAUCGUGUGGAGGUCAGUCAUAAUCUGACAUUCAACUCCGGAUGAAGGAAUCGUUCCAGGCCAUUCAAAUUGGCUGUUUGAAAGAUUUCUGUGUCGAGGUCAAUGCUUUGACACAAUUCUAUCUCUGAGGUCUGCGGGAAGUUCCUUGGACGCCAGUGGUCGCCAAUCAAGAGACAUCUCAAGGAUAAUCAAAGGAAACAGGGUGCAUUAGAGCUCAAUUCGGAGUGUCAUGGCUAAGAGAAU